rnacentral:tRNA from 1 species
GCGGAAUUGGUGAAGUGGUUAACACACCGGAUUGUGGCUCCGGCAUGCAAGGGUUCGACCCCCUUAUUUCGCCCCA